AUUGAACGCUGGCGGAAUGCUUUACACAUGCAAGUCGAACGGCAGCACGGACUUCGGUCUGGUGGCGAGUGGCGAACGGGUGAGUAAUACAUCGGAACGUGCCCAGUCGUGGGGGAUAACGUAGCGAAAGCUACGCUAAUACCGCAUACGAUCUAAGGAUGAAAGCGGGGGAUCGCAAGACCUCGCGCGAUUGGAGCGGCCGAUGGCAGAUUAGGUAGUUGGUGGGGUAAAGGCUCACCAAGCCGACGAUCUGUAGCUGGUCUGAGAGGACGACCAGCCACACUGGGACUGAGACACGGCCCAGACUCCUACGGGAGGCAGCAGUGGGGAAUUUUGGACAAUGGGCGAAAGCCUGAUUCAGCCAUUCCGCGUGCAGGAUGAAGGCCCUCGGGUUGUAAACUGCUUUUGUACGGAACGAAAAGGCUCUGGUUAAUACCUGGGGCUCAUGACGGUACCGUAAGAAUAAGCACCGGCUAACUACGUGCCAGCAGCCGCCGUAA
rnacentral:rRNA from 1 species